ensembl:lncRNA
GGCACAACCUUCAAGAUCAACGCUGUGCCGCAGAAGGUGGAGAUGAUGGCUGGUGCCGGCGAGCAUACGGCACCACUACCCACACACGACUUCUGAGCACUUGAAAUGCAGCUAGUGCCGCGCAGCAGAUGAAUCCUCAACGUGAUUUUACAUCAGUUAGAUUUAAAUGGCCAGACCAGCUCUAGAUCAUUAGGUCCUCAUGGGGGAAAGGUGUGCACCUUUGGUCUGAGAGAAUGAGGGUCACGUGAGACCUUUUGGAAACCUAACCAUUUACAUAUGGCUAUGGCAGGGCGCAGGUAGCCUAACCUGGGUAUGUCUGGAGACUGGCUUCCCUGUGCCGGGGGCCCCGACCCACCUCAGAGUUACACAGGGUGCUGUAUGGCAUCCUCAGAUCCAGGUUAGCACAGCCUGGUCCAGGGAUGUUUCUGAACUUGGUGCUGAGGAAUGGAACAGGGUCAGGCCCAGAUAUCUCGAGGAGUCACCCUGGAGAGCAAGAGAGACUGUCCUCCACCCAGGUAUGGGAGUCAGAAUUAGACGCACAUGGAGGACUUCCAGGUCGAAAGUAGAAUGAGGGCAUCUCGUGUGCAUGCUAAGUCACUUUAGUCGUGUCCGCCGCUUUAUGCCCCACGGACUGUGGCCCGCCAGGCCCCUCUGUCCAUGGGAUCCUCCAGGCAAGAAUGCUGGAGUGGGUUGCCCUGCUCUCCUCAGGAAUCGAACCCGAGUCUCAGUCAACCUGCACUGGCAGGCGGGUUCUUUACCACGAGCGCACGUGGGAAGGCCCGGGGACCAUUACUCCUCCGCCCAGAGACUGAGGGCGCUGAGGAAAGGAGGAGUGGCCGUGACCCCCGAGUUAGAUUUCCGGAGCCCAGCGGGGUGCAUUCCUCUCCCAGCCCCUCCCCACGCGGCACCCAGGCGGAUGUUCCGAUAGGACAGAAGGCGCUGGCCGUCAGGCGGAAGACCUCUGCGCGCAGCUCUGGUCAGGAAGGACGCGGCGGCCCCGCUGAGGACCCCGCGGCUGCGACAGCAGGCAGGGAGCGGCCAGGGCACCGUCACUGGCGGACGGAAAAGCUGAGGCCUCUCCCCACGUUUUCCGGACAGACUCUCAUCCCCUCGGGGAGGCAGAGGGGCGGCCCACACCCGGGCUAGUAGUGAACUUCUCACCGCCCUUGUCAAGCGGAGGCUCAAGGUCACGUUUAAUUUGAUUUAGAAGAAGCGAUGCAGUAACGGGGCACGUUUGGCUCCUGAACGUGAGCAAACCCACACCUGCUCGGAGACACGGCCUGGUUGGCUUCUCAAGCAAGUGUUCUGACCUGUCGAUUCUCCCAUCACGCCGUCACAUCUGCUCCCAGAGGCCUGCUGCUUACAAAAUGAAUUCUCUUAUCUCCCAGGCUCGAGGUCCUUUUCUAGUUUACAGCAGGAAAAAAACGUCCAAAAAAACAACAUGCGGAGACAUGCCUGUGGUUUGGGCCGUUAAUCACAGGACCCAGCGGGCCGGGUGGGAGCGCCCAGGCUCCUGGGUGAGGAGCCCCCUCUCCUGAGAGAGAGGGACGUUGUGCCUUCAGGUCAGGUGUGAGCCCCACCCGGAGCCCGUCCUCAGGCCUGGGCAGCCUGGGGCUCCACAGAGUGCCUCCUCCUCCCAAGGACCGGAGGGGUGGGAGCUGGAAAUGCAGAAGCAGGACGAGGGAAGCGUCACCGCCCCCGGGGGGCUGGGUAGCUGGAAACAGUGGGUCCCGUCAAGCAGGACCUGGACGGGCUCGUUUAUAAGCAAGAGCGCACUUUAUUUAGAGCCCCGGGGGACGGUGGCCCCUCUCCGAAGGCAGUGCCAUCACUCAUUUCCACCGGAAAAUAAACCCUCCCCCGCUCGGUCCACGCAGAGGGCCGGGAGGUGCGGGCGGGGCCGGAGCGGCUGGCCGCCUGUGCCCACCCCGGGCGGCCUUGUGCGCGAGGCGGCUCGGCCCUGCUGCGCGGCCCGGGGCUGGGAGCUGCACCGCGCCCAGCGGGACCCAGUCGGCGGUAGAGGCAAAGCAAGUCCAGAGACGGAGAGGCACGGCCUGGAGAGACGAUUGGCCAGGGCAGGGGAGGCCAUGGAGUGAGCGGAAGGACAAGAGAGGCUGCGGGGAGCCCGCCCGCCCGCGGAAAGCCCGCUCUGGAGGCCCGGGUUCUGUUCACUUAGGUAUCUGUACUCUGCAGGUGCUAAGAAUACUGUUUAUUAGGUGUUUGGGCUUCCCACACGGCGCUGUUGGUAAAGAACCCAGCUGCCAACGCAGGAGACCUAAGAGAUGGAGCUCUGUCCUUAGGUGGGAAGAUCCCCCGAAGGAGGGCAUGGCAACCAGCUCCGGUGCUCUUGCCUGGAGAAUCCCAUGAAGAGAGGAGCCUGGCGGGCUACGGUCCAUGGGGUCACAGAGUGGGAGCCGACUGAAGGGACAACAGGCACAUUAGGGUUACAGGCUGUGCCUGGCACCCCGGGUGGUUUACAUCACUUCUCAGACAGCCGCCACCUGCAUGGCUUGUGGGACCUUACUUCUCUGACCUACGGGAAUCCAGAAUCUAAGGACAUCUCAGAGUCUUAACCACUGGGCCGCCAGGGCAUUCUCUCUCUCCACUCGUUUGAAACCACAGAUUACAUUGUGC